AACCGCUGUGUCGCAGGCUCUGCUCGAGCUCCUGCCUUGCAGCGCGGCAGCUCGGUGCCCCGGGACACCCGGCAGGGCUGUCGGCGCCUGGGAGUCACCGUGCGGCCGCGCCCCGGCCUGCUCCCGUCCCGCUCCCGUCCGGCCCCGUCCCGCUCCCGUCCGGCCCCCGUCCCGCUCCCGUCCGGCUCCCGUCCGGCUCCCGUCCCGCUCCCGUCCCGCUCCCGUCCCGCUCCCGUCCGGCUCCCGUCCCGCUCCCGUCCCGCUCCCGUCCGGCCCCCGUCCCGCUCCCGUCCGGCUCCCGUCCCGCUCCCGUCCCGCUCCCGUCCGGCCCCCCCCCGCUCCCGUCCGGCUCCCGUCCCGCUCCCGUCCCGCUCCCGUCCCGCUCCCGUCCCGCUCCCGUCCGGCUCCCGUCCCGCUCCCGUCCCGCUCCCGUCCCGCUCCCGUCCCGCUCCCGUCCGGCUCCCGUCCGGCCCCCGUCCCGCUCCCGUCCCGCUCCCGUCCCGCUCCCGUCCCGCUCCCCGUCCGGCCCCCGUCCCGCUCCCGUCCGGCCCCAGUCCCUCUCCCGUCCCUCUCCCGUCCCGCUCCCGUCCCUCUCCCGUCCCUCUCCCGUCCCGCUCCCGUCCCGCUCCCGUCCCGCUCCGUCCGCCGCCUGUCCCGGGGGCGCGGGGCCGGGGCAGGGCCGUGCAGCGGGGCUCGGGGAGAGGUUCCGUGCGGGGUUCAAUGCGGGGCUCGGGGAGAGGUUCAGUGCGGGGUUUGGUGCGGGGUUCAAUGCGGGGCCGGGGCUCGGUGCGGGGUUCGGUUCGGGGCUCGGAGCAGGACUGGCCGGCUCGGUUGCUCCCGGCGGCUGCACGCCCUGCUGGUGAAACCUGUUGUUUUGGAAGCUGCACAGUGGAGCAACCUCUGCCCCGGCUGAUACGACAAGAAAUCACCUCCUGGCCGGGACCCAAGCAAAACACGGGAUUAACUUUGCCCUGUGCUGGCUCGCUGGGAGGCGGGGAGAGGGUGAGAGCGGCUCCGGCAGCGGCAGAGAGGAUCCUGCGAGGAUGGGGGCCCGGCUGCUGUGCCUGUGCCUCCUCACCGCCCUCCUGGGCUACUACAUCUACAGCCCGCUGCCCCCGGAGCUGGCCCAGCCCGGCACCGUGA
rnacentral:lncRNA from 1 species